rnacentral:tRNA from 2 species
GGUUGAUGUACGCUUAACUGGUAAAGUGGUGCUAGCCUUCGGGCGAAGGACUUUUGCAGGUUCGACCCCUGCCAUCAACCG